rnacentral:rRNA from 1 species
UACGAAGGGGGCUAGCGUUGCUCGGAAUCACUGGGCGUAAAGGGUGCGUAGGCGGGUCUUUAAGUCAGGGGGGAAAUCCUGGAGCUCAACUCCAGAACUGCCUUUGAUACUGAGGAUCUUGAGUUCGGGAGAGGUGAGUGGAACUGCGAGUGUAGAAGUGAAAUUCGUAGAUAUUCGCAAGAACACCAGUGGCGAAGGCGGCUCACUGGCCCGAUACUGACGCUGAGGCACGAAAGCGUGGGGAGCAAACAGG